rnacentral:rRNA from 1 species
AGUGAACGCUGGCGGUAGGCCUAAUACAUGCAAGUCGAACGGCAGCACAGUAAGAGCUUGCUCUUACGGGUGGCGAGUGGCGGACGGGUGAGGAAUACAUCGGAAUCUACUUUUUCGUGGGGGAUAACGUAGGGAAACUGAUGCUAAUACCGCAUACGAUCUACGGGUGAAAGCAGGGGAUCUUCGGACCUUGCGCGAUUGAAUGAGCCGAUGUCGGAUUAGCUAGUUGGCGGGGUAAAGGCCCACCAAGGCGACGAUCCGUAGCCGGUCUGAGAGGAUGAUCAGCCACACUGGAACUGAGACACGGUCCAGACUCCUACGGGAGGCAGCAGUGGGGAAUAUUGGGCAAUGGGCGCAAGCCUGAUCCAGCCAUACCGCGUGAGUGAAGAAGGCCUUCGGGUCGUAAAGCCCUUUUGUUGGGAAAGAAAAGCUGCAGGAUAAUACCCGGCUGUUCUGACGGUACCCAAAGAGUAAGCACCGGCUAACUUCGUG